rnacentral:rRNA from 11 species
AACCACUGCUCUAAGUACUCUAAAUACAACAGAUCCUGUCUGAUCUUGGAAGUCAUGAAGGGUCAGCCCUGGUUAAUAUUUGGUUGGGUGACUGCCAAGGAAUACCAGCUGCUGUAGGCU